rnacentral:rRNA from 1 species
GCACUAAGCUUCAGUCUAGAGUUGACCGUACCGCAAACCGACACAGGUGGGCAGGAUGAAAAUUCUAAGGCGCUUGAGAGAACUCAGGAGAAGGAACUCGGCAAAUUAACACCGUAACUUCGGGAGAAGGUGUGCCCCGGUAGCGUGUAGAGACUUGCUCUCGAAGCGCGAUGGGGUUGCAGUGAAAUGGUGGCUGCGACUGUUUAAUAAAGACACAGCACUCUGCAAACACGAAAGUGGACGUAUAGGGUGUGACGCCUGCCCGGUGCCGGAAGGUUAAGUGAUGGGGUGCAAGCUCUUGAUCGAAGCCCCGGUAAACGGCGGCCGUAACAAUAACGGUCCUAAGGUAGCGAAAUUCCUUGUCGGGUAAGUUCCGACCUGCACGAAUGGCGUAACGAUGGCCACACUGUCUCCUCCUGGGACUCAGCGAAGUUGAAAUGUUUGUGAAGAUGCAAUCUACCCGCGGCUAGACGGAAAGACCCCAUGAACCUUUACUGUAGCUUUGCAUUGGACUUUGAACCGGUUUGUGUAGGAUAGGUGGGAGACUGUGAAGCCGGGACGCUAGUUUCGGUGGAGUCAACCUUGAAAUACCACCCUGAUUUGUUUGAGGUUCUAACCUUGGUCCGUGAAUCCGGAUCGGGGACCGUGCAUGGUAGGCAGUUUGACUGGGGCGGUCUCCUCCCAAAAGGUAACGGAGGAGUACGAAGGUACGCUUAGGGCGGUCGGACAUCGCCCACAAAGUGCAAUGGCAAAAGCGUGCUUGACUGCGAGACCCACAAGUCGAGCAGGUACGAAAGUAGGUCAUAGUGAUCCGGUGGUUCUGUAUGGAAGGGCCAUCGCUCAACGGAUAAAAGGUACUCUGGGGAUAACAGGCUAAUUCCUCCCAAGAGUUCAUAUCGACGGGGGAGUUUGGCACCUCGAUGUCGGCUCAUCACAUCCUGGGGCUGUAGUCGGUCCCAAGGGUAUGGCUGUUCGCCAUUUAAAGUGGUACGCGAGCUGGGUUUAAAACGUCGUGAGACAGUUUGGUCCCUAUCUGCCGUGGGCGCUGGAAAUUUGAAGGGGGCUGCUCCUAGUACGAGAGGACCGGAGUGGACGAACCUCUGGUGUACCGGUUAUGACGCCUGUCGUAUCGCCGGGUAGCUAAGUUCGGAAGAGAUAAACGCUGAAAGCAUCUAAGCGUGAAACUCGCCUUAAGAUAAGAUUUCCCGGAGUCUUGAACUCCCUGAAGGGUCGUCGAAGACCACGACGUUGAUAGGUCAGGUGUGGAAGCGCAGCAAUGCGUUAAGCUAACUGAUACUAAUUGCCCGUGCGGCUUGAUCC